rnacentral:lncRNA from 1 species
AUAUGUUUUCCAAUAUGGACAAAUGAAAUAGUGUUAAGAAUAGAAGUAAAUACAUUUUUAGACAUUAGAUGAUAAAGGGAAGAGGGACUCAGCUCACAGUGGUCAUCAGAUCUCAGCACUAUUUUAAUCUUGUCCAAAAUUAUUCAAUAUUCUUGAUUCAAUGCCAAUUAAACUAUAGAAUAAGUGCAAUUUUUAAAGUGUUUCUCUUUAUCCUUUGGGUAAUAUUUGUUCUGGUUGUUUGUAUAGUAAAACCAUUUUCUCUAUAAAGUACUUCACAUUCGUGGAUUUGUUUACAAUGUGCAUGUUUGAAAUUUAAAACUAAGCUUAAUUUCUUUUAAAAAAAUCAGUGUAUGCAUGGCCCCUAUUCCAGGAAAUCUAACUUCCUCUGCAGUUGUGUGCUUCACUCACAUGAUUGGAAUGUUGCAGCUGCUUAGCAUCCUCCAGGCAAUGGUAAAAUCGAGGUUUAAGACAGGAACGUAGGAAAAAUAGUAUGUUUGCUUACAUUUGCAGAGGGGAUUUCUUUUCAGUGCCUAAACUGAGUUUGAACCAAAAUUAUUGAAUCAAUACACUUUUUGAUCUUUAAAAAAUGGAAGCAAAAAGCCUGUAUAUCAUUAAUGGUUAAUGAAUUGUUGAAAGUAGUUAUAUAAACAGGUCAAUCGGGCCAGUUUUCCUCUGCGUUGAUUUCCAAUAACCAUGCAUGAAUGAUACAGGAGAUGAAUUGCUUAUAAAUUUAGUUCAGAAUACCUUUGAAAAGUAGAGUACAGUGACAUUGUGUUUUUGAUUUAAAGUAUUCCCUAUCGAGACUAAUCAUCAUUACAGGGCAUUGUAUUAGAAUUAUACACAGUAAAGCCAACCGUAAUUUCCUACUCUGCUAGAAAUAUAAAAGGUUGUUCACUCCUGUCCUUGACAAACUCUCAUUUAUAGCAAAUAGAUUUUGAAAACUUAAGCCCAUUGAUAUUUCUGAAAAUAUGUAAAUUCAGAAGAAAGCACCCCAACAGAGAAGAUGUGGUCAGUUUUCAUUAUGGAAAAAUGAUCUCAUGUCUCUCCUUCUAUGGAGACACAUUCAAGUAUGGUAUAGUUUUCAAGUAAGUUUCUAAAGAAACAAAGUCACAAUGUAUAAUAGCAUUGCUAAAGUGUCUAGAGUAUAACAGACCCUUUAAAAAGAAUAUUUUCACGUUGACAUAAAUCAAAUGAUGUCUAAAUUAAGUGUUUUCCUUUUUCCAGUUUAUUAUCGCAGUCACUCUAGCCUUCACAAGAUCCUAUUGUUCAGGGACUAUGAUGACCUGAUGCUAGAUUUAGGAGCAGAAAAAUUAUAGGUUAUUUAUUAAAUAACUUUGUUACUCUGCACUAUUUAAAAAUGUAUAAUGGUGGAGCCCUCUAGAAAUAUUCUUUAUCUAAGAAACUAAGAAAUAGGAGCUAUCAAAAUAUAGGAUCAUUAGGCAACAGGUCAGUUAUCAGAGUCAAAGAUCAAUGCCUCCAUGCUUGGAGUAAUUCAAACACAUGGCUAUGAUAUAUUUGAUAUAUAACUUGAGCCAACAUGUUUAAUGUCAUGGAUCUUUCAUAGGAAUAUGAUAUUGAUGACAUUGAGUUUUUAAUGUUUGCUGACAUUUUUUCUUGGCCUCAUGGAUGUAUGAAGACGACACAACUGACCUGGCUCCAUCCCUGAAGGUCAGCGCGCACCAUCGUCUGCUUGGAUUAUUCACUCUUAACACAGCAAUUUUUAUUGAGACAAUAAAACAAACAUCCAAUUUUUGCAAUAUAUACCAAAACUCAUAGAAAAAGUCAUAAUUUUUCAUAUUUCAUAUUCAAAUAUGAUCAUUUAAUAUGUUUCAUGCCAUAAUCAACAUUUUAUAGAAAGGUGGAUUAUACUUCAAAUGUUUUGUGUUCUUCUAUACCAUGCAGAAGAGUUACCUGGAAAGAUAUCAUGACUGCUAUAAGUAUAAAAAAUUAUAAUUUUUUAAUUCCCACAGAUUUUAUUUUGAAAUGUAUUUAUUGUUGCUGCUAAACCCUCUCCCACAAUCUCAAUUAUUCUUUUUUUUUUUACAACAAACUUAAGGCUCACUAAAAUCCUGCAGAAGAUAAGUUGUAUUAUAUGCAUUGUUCACACAGAGUAAUGUAUAGAACAUUUGGUUCCCUGUUGAUUGAGAGAACAUAUGCCUGGACAAUUUAUGAAGCCAGAAAUAUAUCUACAAUAUCUUAUAAAACUAUGAAAACAGUAAAGUAUUUUAAUGACAUAGUAAGUAAAGAAUGCAGUUCAAAAAAUAGAGAGCUUAAGAGAAUAAGUUAGAGACUGAAUUUUGAAUGUAACACAGAAAUUUUGAAAGAUGUUCAAUUGUAUUCUUAAAACCUAAAAAUUCAACUAUUUUUAUAAUAUAACAUUCUAGACAGAAAAAUGAAAUGUCUUGUUUCAAGUGAAACAAAAUCUUAAGAGCCUAGAUUGGCGUCUUGUGUUUAGCUUUUUGUGAUUGUGUAUACUAGAUCUCUUUCACUGGAAACAAAAAUUGCAUAAAUAAGAGCUCUGCUUCUUUCCAAAGAUUCUGAUUUAUUCUUUUUCCAGAAAAAGUUUGAUUUAUUCUAAUAUGUGUAUGCUUUUCAAUUUUCAAAGAUCAAUUCAUGUUGUUAAAAUUACUUUGAAUUGUAGUUAACAUAUCUGUCCUUUCCCAGUCAAGGGAGGAGUCAACUGUUACACAGUCUUGGAUCAAGGGCAGGACACUUAUUUUUGUUUUGUUUUGUUUCAUUUUCAUUUUUAUUGGUUAUUUUAUUUAUUGACAUUUAAAAUGUUACCCCCUUCCCAGUUUCCCCU